CGUAGGGUGCGAGCGUUAAUCGGAAUUACUGGGCGUAAAGCGUGCGCAGGCGGUUUGUUAAGCCAGAUGUGAAAUCCCCGGGCUCAACCUGGGAACUGCGUUUGGAACUGGCAAGCUAGAGUACGGCAGAGGGGGUGGAAUUCCACGUGUAGCAGUGAAAUGCGUAGAUAUGUGGAGGAACACCGAUGGCGAAGGCAGCCCCCUGGGUCGAUACUGACGCUCAGGCACGAAAGCGUGGGGGAGCAAACAGGAUU
rnacentral:rRNA from 1 species